UACGGGGGGAGCAAGCGUUGUUCGGAUUUACUGGGCGUAAAGAGCUCGUAGGCGGCUUGUCGCGUCGUCUGUGAAAUCCCGCGGCUCAACUGCGGGUCUGCAGUCGAUACGGGCAGGCUAGAGUUCGGUAGGGGAGACUGGAAUUCCUGGUGUAGCGGUGAAAUGCGCAGAUAUCAGGAGGAACACCGGUGGCGAAGGCGGCAUCCUGGACCGAAACUGACGCUGAGGCGCGAAAGCCAGGGGAGCAAACGGG
rnacentral:rRNA from 1 species